AGCAAUGUAAACAAGGAGUCAAAGAAAAGGAGGAGAGAAAAAAUUCAGGCAUAGCCUAUAUCAAAUUUUUAACGAUAUGAUAGAAUAAAGAACUGGAAUUGAAAAUGAAGUGUUCCUUGAUAGGUUCAAUUUUGAUAUUGCUAGGCUUUGUCUUGUCUACUCAAGCCUAUCAACUCAUUGCUCAGUACGACUCCUACCCUUGGACUAAAUGCUCUCCCUUUGAAGCUUCCAAGAAGAAUUGUCCCGUUGGAGAGGCAUGCCUAAAGUUAAAAUCAUUUAGCACCGGCUAUGCCUGGAAUUGGGCGAUGAGAUGUCAAAGUAGAGAGGAAUAUAUUCAACAGGAGGAUAAAUACUUUUAUGCCGGAUAGGAAGACAUAAUCUUAUCGAAAGUAACAUAACACCACCUAAUUACGUAUAUAUAUAUAUAUGUAUUAAAUUCAGAAGAAGAAACAAAAUUAAUGCCACAUUUAUUAUCUGUAUAUGAUGAAUAAAAUGAUAAAUGUCAAUAUAACAAUCUGAUACUAUCUUAACAUUCAAAUAUGGGGGAUUUUGUAGGAGUGGGAUAAGGGAUAAUGACUUUUUCCUUUUUACAAUGUUUGAAAAUAAUUCUUACAUACAUCAAAUAACUAAUUUGUUCUACAAAUACAUAGAUAUAGAUUAAUUAAUUGUGUAAUAUUAAUAGCUCUUUUGGUUUUCCAUAGUGCUAAGGGAAUUAAAGGCAAAUAACCCUGCCUGGUUAUGUAUAUCUAUGAGAGAAGGGCCCAUCAAAAGGUUUAAAAUACGUAAAAUACCUCACCCUGGUCCAGCCGUUUUAAUAUUAUGUAUGCAAUAAAAAAUGGGACUAAGUAA
rnacentral:lncRNA from 1 species